CGAAGGACCCGAGCGUUAUCCGGAUUUAUUGGGUUUAAAGGGUGCGUAGGCGGACUUAUAAGUCAGUGGUGAAAUCUCCCAGCUCAACUGGGAAACUGCCAUUGAAACUAUUUGUCUUGAGUACAUUUGAGGCGGGCGGAAUGUGUCAUGUAGGGGUGAAAUUCUUAGAUAUGACACAGAACACCAAUUGCGAAGGCAGCUCGCUAAACUGUAACUGACGCUGAGGCACGAAAGCGUGGGGAUCAAACAGGAUUAGAUACCCUGGUAGUCCACGCCCUAAACGAUGAUUACUCGAAGUGUGCGAUACACAGCACGCCUCUGAGCGAAAGCAUUAAGUAAUCCACCUGGGAAGUACGGCCGCAAGGCUG
rnacentral:rRNA from 1 species